rnacentral:rRNA from 1 species
UAAUGUCUACGGACCAAAGCAGGUUCUCUUCGGACCUUGCACUAUCGUAUGAACACAUAUGGGAUUAGCUAGUAGGUGGGGUAAAGGCUCAACUAGGCGACGAUCUCUAGCUGGUAUGAGAGGAUGAUCAGCCACACUGGGACUGAGACACUGCCCAGACUCCUAAGGGAGGCAGCAGUGGGAAAAUUGCACAAUGGGCGCAAGCCAGAUGCAGACAUGCCGCGUGUAUGAA